GAUGAACGCUGGCGGCGUGCCUAAUACAUGCAAGUCGAGCGAACGGACGAGAAGCUUGCUUCUCUGAUGUUAGCGGCGGAUGGGUGAGUAACACGUGGAUCACCUACCUUUACGACUGGGAUAACUUCGGGAUGCCGGAUCUAAUCCCGGAUAAUAUUUUGAACCGCAUGGUUCAAAAGUGAAUGACGGUCUUGCUGUUCCUUAUAGAUGGUUCCGCGCUGCAUUAGCUAGUUGGUAAGGUAACGGCUUACCAAGGCAACGAUGCAUAGCCGACCUGAGAGGGUGAUCGGCCACACUGGAACUGAGACACGGUCCAGACUCCUACGGGAGGCAGCAGUAGGGAAUCUUGCGCAAUGGGCGAAAGCCUGACGGAGCAACGCCGCGUGAGUGAUGAAGGUCUUCGGAUCGUAAAACUCUGUUAUUAGGGAAGAACAUAUGUGGGAGUAACUGUGCGCAUCUUGACGGUACCUAAUGAGAAAGCCACGGCUAACUACGUG
rnacentral:rRNA from 1 species